AUUUUGUUUCCAUCGAAAGAAAUUAGUGGCGUCCACCCGUGCCUGUGCAUUCUGCAAAUGAGCUUCUAUGAGAUGUAUUACUGGAAGGUCUCAGGUGUAUGCUGAAUGGUCGUCCUGAGAAGGACUGUUGGACAUAAGAUGUUUAUGAGAAGAGUAAUUAAUGCCAUUGACAGAAGAUGGGCAGACAGCAGCUAGGCAUGGGCUUUGAGGAUGGUUCAAGCCACAGCACCACAGAGGAAGAGCAUAGGCAAUGUUCUCUGUAGGGGAAGAGCAGCUGGGGAGCAGAAGGGAUGCAAGACUCUGGUCAAGUUGAUGUGUAACCAUCCCAGCAGAGGUGAAGAUACUCUAGGCAGCAACAGCAACUAGGAGCAGCAGAGAACAGCAGGGAGCAGCAGGACCCAGCCUCCUCCUCCUCCUCCUCCUCCUCCUCCUCCUCCUCCUCCAGAGCAUUCCUUGCCCCUCUUGGAGCCCUGUUAUUUAUAACCUCUCCAGCGUUUCCAUAAUUAAACUAUCUGCAGCUGACAAAAAUCAUGUCCCUUCGAGAGCAAGAGACAAUCAUAGUUAACAACUGUGGACACACUGAGGCAGCUUCACAUCCCACACCUGGGAUUAAAACACAAACAGAUUCAUAUAACAUAAC
rnacentral:lncRNA from 1 species